rnacentral:rRNA from 1 species
GAGUGGCGAACGGGUGAGUAACACGUGGGUGAUCUGCCCUGCACUUUGGGAUAAGCCUGGGAAACUGGGUCUAAUACCGAAUACACCCUUCUGGCUGCAUGGUCUGGUUGGGGAAAGCUUUUGCGGUGUGGGAUGGGCCCGCGGCCUAUCAGCUUGUUGGUGAGGUUACGGCUCACCAAGGCGACGACGGGUAGCCGGCCUGAGAGGGUGACCGGCCACACUGGGACUGAGAUACGGCCCAGACUCCUACGGGAGGCAGCAGUGGGGAAUAUUGCACAAUGGGCGCAAGCCUGAUGCAGCGACGCCGCGUGAGGGAUGACGGCCUUCGGGUUGUAAACCUCUUUCGCCAGGGACGAAGCCAAGUGACGGUACCUGGAGAAGAAGGACCGGCCAACUACGUGCCAGCAGCCGCGGUAAUACGUAGGGUCCGAGCGUUGUCCGGAAUUACUGGGCGUAAAGAGCUCGUAGGUGGUUUGUCGCGUUGUUCGUGAAAACUCACAGCUCAACUGUGGGCGUGCGGGCGAUACGGGCAGACUGGAGUACUGCAGGGGAGACUGGAAUUCCUGGUGUAGCGGUGGAAUGCGCAGAUAUCAGGAGGAACACCGGUGGCGAAGGCGGGUCUCUGGGCAGUAACUGACGCUGAGGAGCGAAAGCGUGGGGAGCGAACAGGAUUAGAUACCCUGGUAGUCCACGCCGUAAACGGUGGGUACUAGGUGUGGGUUUCCUUCCUUGGGAUCCGUGCCGUAGCUAACGCAUUAAGUACCCCGCCUGGGGAGUACGG